CAGUCCAGGAAUGGGGGCCACACGUGUCCCGUCGGUGGGCCCUGUGUUCUCUGUAAUUUCGUUUCCGUUUUCUCAGAGUGGAUGCCAUGGUAGUACUUCCUAUUCACAGCUGUUUAUUGUCAUUUAAAUGAUAAUGCUAAAAGCCUGUGAUGUUCCACAAGUCUGUGGGAAGAAAUUGGGAACAGGUUCAAACUCCGAGCGGGGUGGAGACGAAAUUUCGUUGUACCAAUUUCCCAAGUUAAUGAGAGACUCGGCGCACACACACACACCACACAGUCUUUAGUGUGUGUCCUAGAGGUGGCGGUCUCCUCCAAGCUACAGUGAGAAGAAAGUCAACACAGGAAAGAAAGACUUCCUAUGGUUUGUUUAUUUACUUAACUAAAACCAUUCAAAUUCCUAACAUGUCAGGUGCUUUGAGGACUCACCCACCAGAUGAGAAUUCUCAUAGAUAGCUGUGUAGCAGGCAUGAAGAGACUUUGACCGUAUUUUCAAUACCAAGCCUUGUGUUGGACUUCCUGAACUGCCAGUCGGAGGUUUGUGUGCAUGAGGAUUAAGAUGUGCCAUUUGUGGACAACUCCUGAAAUAGAAGCCUAUAACCAGUAACUGAUGGAAGAAGAUGCAGAGAUCCACAGCCAAGCACUGGGCUGGACUCCUGGAGAUCAGUUGAAGAGAGGGAGGAGGGGUCAUAUGAGCAAAGGGGGGGGGGGGGUCACAGAGACAGCUGACCCCAGCUAGUGGGAGCUCACGGACUCUGGACUGACAGCUGGGGAACUGCGUGGGACCACACUAGGCCCUCUGGAUGUGGGUAACAGAUAUGUGGCUUGUUCUGUGUGUGGGGGGCCCUGGCAGUGGGACCAGGACUUUUCUUGGGUGCAUGGACUGGCUUUUUAGAGCCCAUUCUCUAUGGAGGGACACCUUGCUCAGUCCUGAUGCAGUGGGGAGGGGCUCGGCCCUGCCUCAACUUGGUGU